rnacentral:rRNA from 1 species
GAUGAACGCUAGCGGGAGGCCUAAUACAUGCAAGUCGAACGAUCACUUCGGUGGUAGUGGCGCACGGGUGCGUAACGCGUGGGAAUCUGCCCUUGGGUUCGGAAUAACUUCGGGAAACUGAAGCUAAUACCGGAUGAUGACGUUAAGUCCAAAGAUUUAUCGCCCAGGGAUGAGCCCGCGUAGGAUUAGCUAGUUGGUGGGGUAAAGGCCUACCAAGGCGACGAUCCUUAGCUGGUCUGAGAGGAUGAUCAGCCACACUGGGACUGAGACACGGCCCAGACUCCUACGGGAGGCAGCAGUAGGGAAUAUUGGACAAUGGGCGCAAGCCUGAUCCAGCAAUGCCGCGUGAGUGAUGAAGGCCUUAGGGUUGUAAAGCUCUUUUACCCGGGAUGAUAAUGACAGUACCGGGAGAAUAAGCUCCGGCUAACUCCGUGCCAGCCGCCGCGGUAAAAC